rnacentral:rRNA from 1 species
UACAGAGGUCCCGAGCGUUGUUCGGAUUCAUUGGGCGUAAAGGGUGCGUAGGUGGCGCCGUAAGUGGGGUGUGAAAUCCCGGGCUAACCCCGGGACUGCAUUCCAUACUGCGGUGCUUGAGGACUGGAGAGGAGACUGGAAUUUACGGUGUAGCAGUGAAAUGCGUAGAGAUCGUAAGGAAGACCAGUGGCGAAGGCGGGUCUCUGGACAGUUCCUGACACUGAGGCACGAAGGCCAGGGAGCAAACGGGA